rnacentral:sRNA from 1 species
AUAUCUCUCCGUACGGGAAGGAUGAGAAGCUUCGAUUAAGGUUCGAUUCGAGCGCAGCGAGAAAGCGUUGCCGCAGG